rnacentral:rRNA from 1 species
GAUGAACGCUGGCGGCGUGCUUAACACAUGCAAGUCGAACGGAAAGGCUCCUGCUUGCAGGGGUACUCGAGUGGCGAACGGGUGAGUAACACGUGGGUGAUCUGCCCUGCACUUCGGGAUAAGCCUGGGAAACUGGGUCUAAUACCGGAUAGGACGAUGGUUUGGAUGCCAUUGUGGAAAGUUUUUCGGUGUGGGAUGAGCUCGCGGCCUAUCAGCUUGUUGGUGGGGUAAUGGCCUACCAAGGCGUCGACGGGUAGCCGGCCUGAGAGGGUGUGCGGCCACAUUGGGACUGAGAUGCGGCCCAGGCUCCUACGGGAGGCAGCAGUGGGGAAUAUUGCACAAUGGGCGCAAGCCUGAUGCAGCGACGCCGCGUGGGGGAUGACGGCCUUCGGGUUGUAAACUCCUUUCGCUAGGGACGAAGCGCAAGUGACGGUACCUGGAGAAGAAGCACCGGCUAACUACGUG